rnacentral:lncRNA from 7 species
CAGUAUAUAUAGAUAUACUUAAGAAUAUAUCAAUGCAAGCAGAACCCACAGCUUUAUGAGCACACGGGAAGAAACUUAGGUCUGCCAGCGACGUGAAACAAAAAAACGUAUAGCUACGACUCAGACUAAGUCCUCCCGAAAGCAAUAAUCCUUCCCCUGUGGCGAGGCUUUCCGAGCCCUUCUAUUUCACAUUAGCAGCACCGGUUAGCGCGGGAGGAGAGGCAGAACAGGCAGAACAGGCCACAGGCACCCAUCCCUGCAGGAACUGCCGAGGGGAGGGAUGCAAGGCUGAGCAUACACGCCUGGCUGUACAAGCUGCCUGCGGCACCCGGGGCAAGAGAGAUCGUGAGGACUUACAAACUAGGUUGUGCAGGUAGACGUGUGGGGUAGCCAGGCACCAGCACAGCCAAAAA